rfam:Clostridium sp. D5 genomic scaffold supercont1.11, whole genome shotgun sequence.
GGGGGAUUAGCUCAGUUGGGAGAGCGCCUGCCUUGCAAGCAGGAGGUCACGAGUUCGAAUCUCGUAUUCUCCA